CUGCGCUGCCCGGCUUGUGCCGCCCGGCCUCGUCCUCCCCCAGGCGCCCCGCCGUGGCCGCCCAGCGACAACCCUGCGAGGCGGGACAGGGCAGCCCCUGGCCCGGAGACGGCGCCGUGGCUGCGCGGGGGCCGGAGCCAGACCGGCGGGCCCUGGGAGCGCUCGGGUAUUAUGCCGUGUCUAGUCGGUUCAGUCAGAUCGGCGUAUUCUGUACAUCCAGCGGGGCUCUCGGUGCGGAUGGCAGGGCUGACGCUAGAACGGGAGCACAACUGGUGGAAGGCCCAGAUUCAAGGAACAGUGGUGUUCAAAGCCCCCUUGAACCACAGCACAGUCCGCCGCCUUCAGUCAAGGACGCAAGCAGGAAACUGUGCGAGUCAGUGGCUUCUGUAGUCACGUAUUCAAAGAUUCUUUGAAAUCCUUCACGGUCCUCUGCUGCUGUGUCUCAGCUGGUGGGCAGAAGAUAAGAAUGGUGGAUAAGACUGGAGCCUUGAAUAAUUAGCCUUGUUUUUAUAAUUGCUUCUUUUUUGUUACUUUAUUUCAAAACCACCAUGUACAUAGUUUCACAAGCAAACAUGGCUGUAUUGUGAAUGUAAUGCUUGUAUUGUUGUUCUAACAAUGGCUGCUUGCGUGCAUGACAGCGCGAGAUGCUGUCCUGCAUCAGGCUCGAGUGAUGCCGAUUUCAGCAGAAAGAUUUGCUCUAGGCAUCUGCUCGCCUGUGGAUCUGCAGCAGGUAGAUGCCUGGAGCAAUCUCUUUCCAUGAACACCCAUUCCGUGGGGCGCGGUGGGGCUGCUUUACUCUUCAGGUCCGGAUGUCAUGAGAAGCUGUGAAGCAUGGAAACCUUACCACGCACAGCUGCAUCUUUCUGUGCUUUUGAGAAGCCAAACGUACCGUGCCGAAACUCCAUAACUGGGUUCUGACAGAAUGGCAGACCAAUAGUAGGAAAUAACCAUGGCUUCUUGGGAUGUGUAAACCAAACGACCAUGCCUUUCCCAGUGUUUUGGUCCUGCAAAAAAUUAUUCUCAUCUCUGGCCAUAAGGACUGUAUGCUGUCCAAUACAUGCUGUCCUCUCAAUGUAUGGCUGGACCUGUCCAAAUUUUAACUAUUUAAACCCUGGACCUGUUCAUAUAUAAAUUAUAGCGUAUAAAUGGAUAAAAAAAGAUGCGGCAUGUUCAAGACUUGGUAUUUUUUAUUGUAGAAAAGGUUUUCCACAAGGUAAUUCUGCAACAGAUAAACGUAUCUAUACCUUUUUUAAAAUUUAAAAAGCUGCUAGUGGAACUCCUUGGCACAGAAUCUGGAAUGUGUAUGGAAAUAGGCAGAGGACCAUGCUGGGAGUGAAGAAGUGAAGCUGUACUGCCAGGUUUCAGUACCAGCAAGUGAAAGCAGGGCCUCAGUGCUAACACGUUUUAGGUGUUUAUGUUUGUUUUGGCCUUUCCCUAGUCCUGAGCUAUCUUUCCCCCAACCACAUACUACUAGUGUGCAUGUGUGCUCCUGUUUGUUCUUCUGUAAACUGCUUUGGGAUAUAUUUCAAAUCAGAGAUGGUAUAUAAGUAUCGCUAAUGAAUAAACACACACGACAGGUCGUCA